rnacentral:rRNA from 1 species
UAAGAGGGGGAGUAACAUCCGGAAACGGGUGGCUAAUACCGCAUAGUUUUCUUGAUCGCAUGAUCGGGAAAGGAAAGACGGCCUUUGUGCUGUCGCUUAUGGAUGGACCCGCGGCGUAUUAGUUAGUUGGUGAGGUAACGGCUCACCAAGACGAUGAUACGUAGCCGACCUGAGAGGGUGAUCGGCCACAUUGGGACUGAGACACGGCCCAAACUCCUACGGGAGGCAGCAGUAGGGAAUCUUCCGCAAUGGACGAAAGUCUGACGGAGCAACGCCGCGUGAGUGAAGAAGGGUUUUUUCCGGAUCGUAAAACUCUGUUGUCAGAGAAGAACAAGUUGGAGAGUAACUGCUCCAGCCUUGACGGUAUCUGACCAGAAAGCCACGGCUAACUACGUGCCAGCCGCUGC